UACGUAGGGGGCAAGCGUUGUCCGGAUUUAUUGGGCGUAAAGCGCGUGUAGGCGGCUAGGUAGGUCCGCUGUGAAAACUUGAGGCUCAACCUCAAGAGGUCGGUGGAAACCAUCUAGCUAGAGUCCGGAAGAGGAGAAUGGAAUUCCUGGUGUAGCGGUGAAAUGCGCAGAUAUCAGGAAGAACACCCGUGGCGAAGGCGGCUCUCUGGGACGGUACUGACGCUGAGACGCGAAAGCGUGGGGAGCGAACAGG
rnacentral:rRNA from 1 species